AAACUGAAGAGUUUGAUCAUGGCUCAGAUUGAACGCUGGCGGCAGGCUUAACACAUGCAAGUCGAGCGGAAACGAUGAUAGCUUGCUAUCAGGCGUCGAGCGGCGGACGGGUGAGUAACACUUAGGAAUCUACCUAGUAGUGGGGGAUAGCUCGGGGAAACUCGAAUUAAUACCGCAUACGACCUACGGGAGAAAGGGGGCAGUUUACUGCUCUCGCUAUUAGAUGAGCCUAAGUCGGAUUAGCUAGAUGGUGGGGUAAAGGCCUACCAUGGCGACGAUCUGUAGCUGGUCUGAGAGGAUGAUCAGCCACACCGGGACUGAGACACGGCCCGGACUCCUACGGGAGGCAGCAGUGGGGAAUAUUGGACAAUGGG
rnacentral:rRNA from 1 species